rnacentral:rRNA from 1 species
CCCUUAGAUGUUCUGGGCCGCACGCGUGCUACACUGAGUAAUUCAAUGGGUAAGGGAACGCUAGAGCAUUACCUAAUCUUGAAAUUUGCUCGUGAUGGGGAUCGACGGUUGCAAUUUUCCGUCGUGAACGAGGAAUACCUUGUAGGCGCAUGUCAUCAUCAUGCGCCGAAUACGUCCCUGCCCUUUGUACACACCGCCCGUCGCUCCUACCGAGUGAGUGAUCCGGUGAGGCUCUGGGACCUGGACGGAAAGAGCGUUUCGCUUGUUCUGUUUGGGAAACUUGGUCGAACCUUAUCAUUUAGAGGAAGGAGAAGUCGUAACA